rnacentral:tRNA from 1 species
GGGCCUGUGGCGCAAUGGUAGCGCGUCUCGUUUGCAACGAGAAGGUUGCGGGUUCAAGUCCCGCCGGGUCCA